GAGAGAAAGAGAGAAGUUACUUGAACGUGGUCUUGGUCGAUUAAAAAUUAGUCCGUUCACGGACUUUGAUAAACUCGGAUCGUAUGUCACAGUCUGUGAAACGAUAUCUGCACAUAGUGGAAUACGUAAGGUCUAUAAAUAGGAGGAACGUGGGAUUCGGAUCUGAAGAUUUGGAGAGACGUGUCGAGCGCCCUCUCGUCGCGUUCGUGCGCUGCGCGAGAGACAGGAGAUGCAAAGGCUUCACGCCUAAGAGGGCCUGUCGUCGAUCUAUAAGGACGGUAUUUGACCACGAUGCCACGUAAGCCACGACCGCGACCCCUGUCCUCGAGGAUUUGCCGCGAAAACCCUUCUCGGUUUCGGAGGUGAUCAGUCACCUCAGAUCCACGGGGCAAACAAACUUAAGCUUGACCGUGGGGGCCGAAGGUGACGAGGAUCGCAAACGAUGUGUCGAAGCUUUGACGAAUUCGAUCCGGAAACAGGAUAUCGUUUCGGUUCGUUAGCAAGAGGGGAAACGAAAAGAAACGGGCGAAAAGCUGCGAGCUCCCUCCUCCCUCGAAAAGCAACGCUUCGUCCUUUUUCCAUUUCCGUGAACCGAGUCUGUGAUUUCGAUGUAGAAUGUCGUCGAUCAAACGAGACCGCGCUUACCGACCACUUCCGCUCGUCGUAUUCCAGUAUCCCGUUUUGGACACGCGCUAUAAGCGACAAAUAAGUUUCAGAGAUCACAGGUUAGGAUUCAUGUAAGAAGAACGAAGUUUUUACGGGCUGGUUUUCACUCGAGUACAAAUCAAGAUCGGGACUCUUAAAUCUCCGAAGAAUGGGAACGAGAAUUUCUUUCGGACCGCCUCAAAGUGUAGAGGCAAGCAUGGUACAAGGUGGCGCCACCUUGGCGGCAGUGGCCAACUUGACAACCGUGUAAAAAGCGACGAAAUCGAGAGUGUUGGUGGGUCUGGCGAAGAGGCACGAUCAAAGAGGAAAGAGGGAACAGCCUAUAAAACAAUUGACGCUCCCGCGGUAUCAAGGAGUAUCCGUUAAACCUGUUUUCUACUUCUUCUACUAACCCAUCGAAAUCCACUUUGAUCAAGUUGCCUUCGGAAUUGAAUGAAAUUACGUUACAAUAAAUGUAUUGUUAUACGUGCCUAAUAUGUGAAUGGAUAUGGAAGUAUAUGAUUAUAGUUAUAUGCGACUAAUAUAAGUAUAUGAAUACAUUUAACAUUAUCUGACAAUUAUAAACUAUAUUAUUGAGUUCAGCAAAUUAGAAUAGCCUUUCUAUGAUAUAAACGGUAAUUUGAGAAAAUUUAACAACUUUUUUUUUUUCAGAUUUUAAUUUCAAAACACGACUACUUUUGAAACAUGGUAUCCUCUCAACGACAAUUCAAAGUGUACACCUUUCCUCGACUCCGCCGGAGAAAGAAAGAUCCCGUAAUCCAUCGAUCGAUCGAUUUCUCUCCAAGUAAAAAGAGGGAAAGAGGAGAAAAAGAAGAAGGACGAAGGUGAGAGAGCGCGCCACGAGCCCGGUUGUUCAGUUUUCAGAGCCGCGAUAUCAAAGCGGGCAUCUCGAACGGCGCCAAGACCAUAGUUAACGAGGUCCUCGUCUGAGCCAUUCACCACCGGGGCACCCUUGUCGUCGUUGUCGAUUCGGCGACAUACGCUGCAAACCACCGGGUCCAGACGAAACCGCCCACUCGACGACCACCGUGCUACGCUCUCUUCCUUCCUUCCUUCUCGUUCGACCAGACGUGUAACACGGCUUCGAGGAAAGAAAGAAAGAAAGAAAGAAAGAAAAGGAGAGAAAUGAACAGGCUACGCGUCGUGUCGCGUCAAUGUUCACGAGCACCUCACGAAGGACUGUGCUAUGGUUCGACCUUUCCUCGACCACCAAAAAAAAAAAAAGAAUAUUAACCUUGAUCUUCUCAAGAAUUGGUUUCUCAUUUAUCUUGAAGGAAUUGAUGUUAUGUUACACAGAAGUGCUGAUCUAAUCUGAAUGAAAUGAAAUGUAUCCAAGAAUAUUUAAGAAACUUAAAGUCAAUAAUAUUCAAUUUCUCUCUCAAGUUGAGAAAAAAAAAAGAAGGAAUAAGAUAAUUUCAGAUUUUCUAUCGAAUAUUUGCAUCGUUUGAAUCGAUAAAUGGCACGGUACACGGGUCCCAUUUGUUCUAUAUUUGUUCAAUGAGUUUGGAAAUCUCCAUUCAGCUCGGUUCGAGCUCGAGAACGGUUGAAUGAUCGAUGUCGUGGGUGGUCAACAGGCGGAGGACAGUCGUGUGAAUGAGCCCAGUGUUCGAUGACUCGUUUAUGUAGGCUGUUAUCAGCUUACACGCGAAUAACCGAAUGACCCGACCGAUGCAAAAACCAUUUUAUUGUUUUCGACCGUUUAUGAAUUCGACCAGAACAGGACAAAACGAUCGAUCUGCUCGAUAAGGAAACGAUCGAAGGCGAAAAUUAAUUCUUCGAUACCUCGAGGAAUGGAAGGGAGGGUAUUGGUUAGGUUAUUGGAUAUUGAUUUUUUUUUCAAGGAUGGAAAUGGAUAAUUAUAUAGUAUUGAAAUAUAUCUAAUUUGUUAUAAUUAAUAAUAUUUCGUUGCCAUUAGAGAAAUUUGAUAAAAUUUGAAUCUAUUAAUACGAAUGUUUAUUACUUAUGUAGAUACAUUGGUAUCCAUCAUAAUUGGAUGUAUUUUUAUUAUUAGUUUUUGAUCAAGUUAUCUAUUCUUUUACAUACGUAUGUUCAUAGAACGGUAUUGUAUAACGUUUCUUAAUUUAUUCCGUGUAAAUAUGCGAA
rnacentral:lncRNA from 1 species